rnacentral:rRNA from 1 species
UACGUAGGUGGCAAGCGUUGUCCGGAUUUAUUGGGUUUAAAGGGUGCGUAGGCGGCUUUUUAAGUCAGUUGUGAAAUAUCCCGGCUUAACCGGGAGGGUGCGAUUGAUACUGGGAAGCUUGAGUUACAGCGAGGUCAGCGGAAUUGAUGGUGUAGCGGUGAAAUGCAUAGAUAUCAUCAAGAACACCGAUAGCGAAGGCAGCUGACUAGGAGUACACUGACGCUGAGGCACGAAAGUGCGGGGAUCAAACAGG